UGUUUUCUAAUUUGUGAUGUUUUCUUUUCCUUGGUCUAGAUUAACAUUUUUCCCACUGGCUGGUCGAGUUGGACCUUUAAGGCCCGAUCAUUCCAUACAAUACGAGCAGCCUCAUGUUCUCAGUCUACUACCUCCUCUAGGGAUGUUCAGGCAAAGAGAAUGAUCAAACCAAGAAAGCUAUAUCUGGAAAAUAUUUUGUCAUGCCAGCAAUGCGCCUCCGUUGCGAUUGCUAUUAAGAUGGGGAUAAGGCGUUUAUGAUUUGAUUAUGUACUCUAUUUGAGCAUCUGCACUACUGCACUUCCUCUCUGGGAUGAGGUGGUUGGCUCAACCACUGCUGCUGAAGUAGGUGAUGGGGAUGAAGUGAUGCAACCCAUCACAACUAAUGCUGCUAUUGGCUGAAAAAUGAACCCCUAUUCUUAACUCUGCAUCCUCCUUUAGAUAUUUUGUAAAGAAUUCACAUCAGCCAUUUUAUUUCUUUGGCGGGUUAUAACCUUUGCACCCUCAAUAUUUGUGGUUGUUUUGCUUUUAACUUUUGUAUCUUCAAGUGUUUGUUCUAAGAUCUUAAGCUUUGUAUCUUGAAAUCUUGUUAUAAGAUCUUGUGAUUGUUCUGGGCCUUAUUUUGUUAGGGUAUGAUUGACUCUAUUUGGAGUAGA